rnacentral:rRNA from 1 species
UACGUAGGGUGCAAGCGUUGCCCGGAUUUAUUGGGCGUAAAGGGCGCGUAGGCGGCUCGGCACGUCCGUUGUGAAAUCGCCCGGCUCAACUGGGCGGGGUCAGCGGAUACGGCCGAGCUUGAGCAAGCUAGGGGGCAAUGGAAUUCCCGGUGUAGUGGUGGAAUGCGCAGAUAUCAGGAGGAACACCAAUGGCGAAGGCAGCUCGCUGGGACGGUACUGACGCUGAGGCGCGAAAGCGUGGGGAGCAAACAGG